CAGUAGCCGCGGUAACACGAGGGGGGCAAGCGUUGUUCGGAAUUAUUGGGCGUAAAGGGCGCGUAGGCGGUUUGUCGCGUCUGCUGUGAAAACUGGAGGCUCAACCUCCAGCCUGCAGUGGGUACGGGCAGACUAGAGUGCGGUAGGGGAGAUUGGAAUUCCUGGUGUAGCGGUGGAAUGCGCAGAUAUCAGGAGGAACACCGAUGGCGGAGGCAGAUCUCUGGGCCGUAACUGACGCUGAGGAGCGAAAGCAUGGGGAGCGAACAGGAUUAGAUACCCGUGUAGUCCCUGUCUCUUAUAC
rnacentral:rRNA from 1 species